AACGAACGCUGGCGGCAGGCUUAACACAUGCAAGUCGAACGCGUGUAGCAAUACACGAGUGGCGCACGGGUGAGUAACGCGUGGAUACCUGCCUUUUGGUUCGGAAUAACUCCGGGAAACUGGAGCUAAUACCGGAUGGUUCCUUCGGGAUAAAGAUUUAUCGCCAAAAGAUGAGUCCGCGUACGAUUAGCUAGUUGGUGAGGUAAUGGCUCACCAAGGCGACGAUCGUUAGCUGGUCUGAGAGGACGAUCAGCCACACUGGGACUGAGACACGGCCCAGACUCCUACGGGAGGCAGCAGUGGGGAAUAUUGGACAAUGGGGGAAACCCUGAUCCAGCCAUGCCGCGUGAGUGAUGAAGGCCUUAGGGUUGUAAAGCUCUUUCGCCAGGGAAGGUAAUGACGGUACCUGGAAAAGAAGCCUCGGCUAACUCCGUGCCAGCAGCCGCGGUAAAAC
rnacentral:rRNA from 1 species